CCCGCUGAACUUAAGCAUAUCAAUAAGCGGAGGAAAAGAAACUAACAAGGAUUCCCCUAGUAACUGCGAGUGAAGCGGGAAAAGCUCAAAUUUGAAAUCUGGCGGUCCCUUGACCGUCCGAGUUGUAAUCUAGAGAAGUGUUACCUGUGCUGGACCGUGUACAAGUCUCCUGGAAUGGAGCAUCAUAGAGGGUGAGAAUCCCGUCUUUGACAUGGACUACCUGCACGUUGUGGUGCGCUCUCAAAGAGUCGAGUUGUUUGGGAAUGCAGCUCAAAAUGGGUGGUAAAUUCCAUCUAAAGCUAAAUAUUGGCGAGAGACCGAUAGCGAACAAGUACCGUGAGGGAAAGAUGAAAAGAACUUUGGAAAGAGAGUUAAACAGUACGUGAAAUUGCUGAAAGGGAAACGCUUGAAGUCAGUCGCGUCAUCCAGGGAUCAACCUUGCUUCUGCUUGGUGCACUUUCUGGUUUGAUGGGUCAGCAUCAAUUUUGACCAUUGGAAAAAGGCUAAGGGAAUGUGGCAUCUUCGGAUGUGUUAUAGCCUCUGGUCGCAUACAUCGGUUGGGAUUGAGGAACUCAGCACGCCGCAAGGCCGGGUUUUUACCACGUACGUGCUUAGGAUGCUGGCAUAAUGGCUUUAAUCGACCCGUCUUGAAACACGG
rnacentral:rRNA from 1 species